CGACGCAGCGGCGGCGAGGGGCGGAGCCAGGGUGGCGAGGCGGGGCCGGCGAGCAGCAGCGGCGGCCGGGCUGGGCCGGGCCAUGGACGCAGCCAGAACAGGCUGUGCCUGUGUGCGUGAGGAAGAAGAAGGAGGAAAGGAGAAAAGAAAAAAAAGAAAAGGAAAAGGAAAAAGGAAAAAGGAAAAAGGAAGGAUGGCCGUUGGAUGAGAAAUGGAUGGAUGAGAUUAAAAGAUACCCCUUGGUACACUUAAGUGAAAACGGGUUUCACAGAAAUACGCCUCCGUGUAGAGAAAACGUACUCCGCGGAAUAAAAGAAAAACCAAAUAAACAAAUAGCUUUUUCUGGGUCUCUAAAUUGCUAGAAAAUCAAAUAAGGCAAAUAAAAUACCAAACGGC
rnacentral:lncRNA from 1 species